CCUACGGGUGGCAGCAGUAGGGAAUAUUGGUCAAUGGACGCAAGUCUGACCCAGCAACGCCGCGUGAAGGAAGAAGGCUUUCGGGUUGUAAACUUCUUUUGUUGGGGAAGAUCAUGAGACUAUACCCCUUGAAUAAACCACGGCUAACUACGUGCGAGCAGCCGCGGUAAUACGGAGGUGGCAAGCGUUUUCCGGAUUUACUGGGUGUAAAGGGCGUGGAGCCGGAGAGACAAGUCAGAUGUGAAAUCCAGGGGCUCAACCCAUGAACUGCAUUUGAAACUGUUUCUCUUGAGUGUCGGAGAGGUAGUCGGAAUUCCUGGUGUAGCGGUGAAAUGCGUAGAGAUAAGGAAGAACACCCGUGGCGAAGGCGGACUACUGGAAGAUAACUGACGGUGAGGCGCGAAAGCGUGGGGAGCAAACAGGAUUAGAUACCCUUGUAGUC
rnacentral:rRNA from 1 species